rnacentral:rRNA from 1 species
GACGAACGCUGGCGGCGUGCGUAAUACAUGCAAGUAGAACGCUGAGGACUGGUGCUUGCACCGGUCCAAGGAGUUGCGAACGGGUGAGUAACGCGUAGGUAACCUACCUCAUAGCGGGGGAUAACUAUUGGAAACGAUAGCUAAUACCGCAUAAAAGUGUUUAACCCAUGUUAAACAUUUAAAAGGUGCAAUUGCAUCACUAUGAGAUGGACCUGCGUUGUAUUAGCUAGUUGGUGAGGUAACGGCUCACCAAGGCGACGAUACAUAGCCGACCUGAGAGGGUGAUCGGCCACACUGGGACUGAGACACGGCCCAGACUCCUACGGGAGGCAGCAGUAGGGAAUCUUCGGCAAUGGACGGAAGUCUGACCGAGCAACGCCGCGUGAGUGAAGAAGGUUUUCGGAUCGUAAAACUCUGUUGUUAGAGAAGAAUGAUGGUGGGAGUGGAAAAUCCACCAUGUGACGGUAACUAACCAGAAAGGGACGGCUAACUACGUGCCAGCAGCCGCGGUAAUACGUAGGUCCCGAGCGUUGUCCGGAUUUAUUGGGCGUAAAGCGAGCGCAGGCGGUUCUUUAAGUCUGAAGUUAAAGGCAGUGGCUCAACCAUUGUACGCUUUGGAAACUGGAGAACUUGAGUGCAGAAGGGGAGAGUGGAAUUCCAUGUGUAGCGGUGAAAUGCGUAGAUAUAUGGAGGAACACCGGUGGCGAAAGCGGCUCUCUGGUCUGUAACUGACGCUGAGGCUCGAAAGCGUGGGGAGCAAACAGG